UACGUAGGGUGCAAGCGUUGUCCGGAAUUAUUGGGCGUAAAGAGCUCGUAGGCGGUUUGUUGCGUCGGCUGUGAAAUCCCGAGGCUCAACCUCGGGUCUGCAGUCGAUACGAGCAAACUAGAGUGUUGCAGGGGAGACUGGAAUUCCUGGUGUAGCGGUGAAAUGCGCAGAUAUCAGGAGGAACACCGGUGGCGAAGGCGGGUCUCUGGACCAUAACUGACGCUGAGGCACGAAAGCUAGGGGAGCAAACAGG
rnacentral:rRNA from 1 species